rnacentral:rRNA from 1 species
CGCCUCUUGAUAAAAUAUAAGAGGUCCCGCCUGCCCAGUGACAAGAUUCAACGGCCGCGGUACUCUGACCGUGCAAAGGUAGCACAAUCACUUGUUCUCUAAAUAAGGACUAGAAUCAACGGCAUCACGAGGGUCCCACUGUCUCCUUUUUCCAAUCAGUGAAACUGAUCUUCCCGUGAAGAAGCGGGAAUAACUCUAUAAGACGAGAAGACCCCAUGGAGCUUCAAACUCACCAGCUACCCCAUGCAAAUCACACGAUAAUUUAAGGGAGGUAUCUGUUAGUUUUGGGUUGGGGUGACCGCGGAGAAUAGUACAUCCUCCGCAAUGAAAAGAAUAACAUCCUUAUCCAAGAGCCACAUCUCUAUGAAUUAAUAAAUUAACAUAUAGUGUUCCGAUACUUUGUAUUCGAUCAAUGAACCAAGUUACCCUGGGGAUAACAGCGCCAUCCACUUUGAGAGUCCAUAUCGACAAGUGGGUUUACGACCUCGAUGUUGGAUCAGGGUAUCCCAGUGGUGCAGCCGCUACUAAAGGUUCGUUUGUUCAACGAUUAAAACCCU